rnacentral:rRNA from 1 species
UACGUAGGGUGCAAGCGUUAAUCGGAAUUACUGGGCGUAAAGCGUGCGCAGGCGGUUGUGCAAGACAGAUGUGAAAUCCCCGGGCUCAACCUGGGAAUUGCAUUUGUGACUGCACGGCUAGAGUGUGUCAGAGGGGGGUAGGAAUUCCACGUGUAGCAGUGAAAUGCGUAGAGAUGUGGAGGAAUACCGAUGGCGAAAGGCAGCCCCCUGGGAUAACACU